UACGUAGGGUGCGAGCGUUAAUCGGAAUUACUGGGCGUAAAGCGUGCGCAGGCGGCUUUGCAAGACAGAUGUGAAAUCCCCGGGCUUAGCCUGGGAACUGCAUUUGUGACUGCAUGGCUGGAGUGCGGCAGAGGGGGAUGGAAUUCCGCGUGUAGCAGUGAAAUGCGUAGAUAUGCGGAGGAACACCGAUGGCGAAGGCAAUCCCCUGGGCCUGCACUGACGCUCAUGCACGAAAGCGUGGGGAGCAAACAGG
rnacentral:rRNA from 1 species